UGGGGAAUUUUGGACAAUGGGCGCAAGCCUGAUCCAGCCAUGCCGCGUGCGGGAAGAAGGCCUUCGGGUUGUAAACCGCUUUUGUCAGGGAAGAAAUCUUCUGAGUUAAUACCUCGGGAGGAUGACGGUACCUGAAGAAUAAGCACCGGCUAACUACGUGCCAGCAGCCGCGGUAAUACGUAGGGUGCAAGCGUUAAUCGGAAUUACUGGGCGUAAAGCGUGCGCAGGCGGUUUUGUAAGACAGAGGUGAAAUCCCCGGGCUCAACCUGGGAACUGCCUUUGUGACUGCAAGGCUUGAGUGCGGCAGAGGGGGAUGGAAUUCCGCGUGUAGCAGUGAAAUGCGUAGAUAUGCGGAGGAACACCGAUGGCGAAGGCAAUCCCCUGGGCCUGCACUGACGCUCAUGCACGAAAGCGUGGGGAGCAAAACAGGAUUAGAUACCCUGGUAGUCCACGCCCUAAAACCGAUGUCAACUGGUUGUUGGGAAGGUUCCUUCUCAGUAACGUAGCUAACGCGUGAAGUUGACCGCCUGGGGAGUACGGCCGCAAGGUU
rnacentral:rRNA from 1 species